rnacentral:rRNA from 1 species
GGCGAACGGGUGAGUAACACGUGAGCAACCUGCCCUUGACUCUGGGAUAACAGUUGGAAACAGCUGCUAAUACCGGAUAUGACCUUCGAUGACAUCAUCUGGAGGUGGAAAGCGCUUGAGCGGUCAAGGAUGGGCUCGCGGCCUAUCAGCUAGUUGGUGAGGUAACGGCUCACCAAGGCUUCGACGGGUAGCCGGCCUGAGAGGGCGACCGGCCACACUGGGACUGAGAUACGGCCCAGACUCCUACGGGAGGCAGCAGUGGGGAAUAUUGCACAAUGGGCGCAAGCCUGAUGCAGCAACGCCGCGUGCGGGAUGACGGCCUUCGGGUUGUAAACCGCUUUCAGUUCCGACGAAGCGCAAGUGACGGUAGGAACAGAAGAAGGACCGGCCAACUACGUGCCAGCCGCCG